rnacentral:rRNA from 1 species
UACAGAGGUCUCAAGCGUUGUUCGGAUUCAUUGGGCGUAAAGGGUGUGUAGGUGGCGCGCUAAGUCGGGUGUGAAAUUUCGGAGCUUAACUCCGAAACUGCAUUCGAUACUGGCGUGCUUGAGGACUGGAGAGGAGACGUGGAAGUUCAUGGUGUAGCAGUGAAAUGCGUAGAGAUCAUGAGGAAGACCAGUGGCGAAGGCGGG